UACGGGGGGGGCAAGCGUUGUUCGGAAUUACUGGGCGUAAAGGGCGCGUAGGCGGCCUGCUAAGUCGGAUGUGAAAUCCCUCGGCUCAACCGAGGAACUGCAUCCGAUACUGGCGGGCUUGAAUCCGGGAGAGGGAUGUGGAAUUCCAGGUGUAGCGGUGAAAUGCGUAGAUAUCAGGAGGAACACCGAUGGCGAAGGCAGGUCUCUGGGCAUUAACUGACGCUGAGGAGCGAAAGCAUGGGGAGCGAACAGG
rnacentral:rRNA from 1 species